GACCGCUUGGCGCAAUGGAUGCGCGUUCGUCUCCAGAUCGAAAGGUUGGGCGUUCGAUCGGCUCAGUGGUCA
rfam:Angiostrongylus costaricensis strain Costa Rica genome assembly, scaffold: ACOC_contig0002618